AACGAACGCUGGCGGCAGGCCUAACACAUGCAAGUCGAGCGGGGACUUCGGUCCUAGCGGCGGACGGGUGAGUAACGCGUGGGAACGUGCCCUUUGCUUCGGAAUAGCCCCUGGAAACGGGGAGUAAUACCGGAUGUGCUCGAGAGAGGAAAGAAUUUCGGCAAAGGAUCGGCCCGCGUUGGAUUAGGUAGUUGGUGGGGUAAUGGCCUACCAAGCCGACGAUCCAUAGCUGGUUUGAGAGGAUGAUCAGCCACACUGGGACUGAGACACGGCCCAGACUCCUACGGGAGGCAGCAGUGGGGAAUCUUAGACAAUGGGCGCAAGCCUGAUCUAGCCAUGCCGCGUGAGCGAUGAAGGCCUUAGGGUUGUAAAGCUCUUUCGUGGGGGGAAGAUAAUGACGGUACCCCAAGAAGAAGCCCCCGGCUAACUCCGUGCACCCGA
rnacentral:rRNA from 1 species